rnacentral:rRNA from 1 species
GAUGAACGCUGGCGGCGUGCCUAAUACAUGCAAGUCGAGCGAACGGACGAGAAGCUUGCUUUUCUGAUGUUAGCGGCGGACGGGUGAGUAACACGUGGAUAACCUACCUAUAAGACUGGGAUAACUUCGGGAAACCGGAGCUAAUACCGGAUAAUAUUUUGAACCGCAUGGUUCAAAAGUGAAAGACGGUCUUGCUGUCACUUAUAGAUGGAUCCGCGCUGCAUUAGCUAGUUGGUAAGGUAACGGCUUACCAAGGCAACGAUGCAUAGCCGACCUGAGAGGGUGGCCGCCCCCAGGGGCACAGCCACCGCGUCCAGCCUCCCGCGGGAGGCGCGAGGGGGUAUUCUCCCAGAUGGGGGGAAGCCCGGACGGCCCCACCCCGCGGGAGUGAUAAAGUUUUUCGUUCCUUAAACCUUUUUUUUGGGGGAAAAACAUAUGUGAAAGUAUCUGUCCACUCCUUGACGUUCCCUAAUCAGAAGCCCCCGCCUACCUCCGCC